rnacentral:tRNA from 1 species
GGAGAGAUGCCCGAGAGGCCGAAGGGGCUCCCCUGCUAAGGGAGUAUCGGGCCACAAAGCCUGAUCGAGGGUUCGAAUCCCUCUCUCUCCGCCA